GAAAAAACUAAUGAAAAAGAAGCGAGGCAAGCACUCCAUCAACAAAGAGAGGAUCAUCUUACACUGCAAAAAACUGAGAGAAUGAAAUACUACAAACAUGCACAAAAAGCAAGACAACAUCCAGACAAGUAUAUCAGCAUCAUUAUUGAUGGAAUGGACCAGAAAUCAACAAGUAUUCCCAAAUUUUACAGAACAUCCAAAUCAGUAUCAUCAGCAUGGAAACUUCCAACACACAUCACCGGAACGAUAGUGCAUGGGAGGGGACAACACAUGUUCCUUGACAACAAAGAAUACCCACAUGAUUCGAACCUUACCGCAACGAUCCUUCUCCAGGUUCUUCAUAAAUAUUCCACCACGCUACCAGACACAUUAUACCUUCAAAUGGAUAACUGUGGGAGGGAGAACAAGAAUCAGUGUCUCCUUGGACUCUGUGCUCUUCUAGUGGAACUCGACGUGUUCAAAAAGGUAAAACUGUGCUUUUUGAUGAAGGGGCACACACACGAAGACAUCGAUCAGCUAUUUAGCCGCAUAUCCACAUAUACAUCUAAG